CUACGGGAUGCUCCAGUGAGGAAUUUUGCGCAAUGGGCGAAAGCCUGACGCAGCAACGCCGCGUGAGUGAUGAAGGCCUUCGGGUCGUAAAGCUCUGUCAAGUGGGAAGAACCUAUGUAAUGUUAAUAUCAUUAUAUACUGACGGUACCACUGAAGGAAGCACCGGCUAACUCCGUGCCAGCAGCCGCGGUAAUACGGGGGGUGCAAGCGUUAUUCGGAAUCAUUGGGCGUAAAGGGCACGUAGGCGGCCUGGUAAGUCAGAUGUGAAAGCCCGGGGCUUAACCCCGGAAGUGCAUUUGAUACUGUCAGGCUUGAGUAUGGGAGAGGGAAGUGGAAUUCCUGGUGUAGAGGUGAAAUUCGUAGAUAUCAGGAGGAACACCGGUGGCGAAGGCGACUUCCUGGACCAAUACUGACGCUGAGGUGCGAAGGCGUGGGUAGCAAACAGGAUUAGAUACCCUGGUAGUC
rnacentral:rRNA from 1 species